rnacentral:rRNA from 1 species
AGUGAACGCUGGCGGUAGGCCUAACACAUGCAAGUCGAACGGCAGCACAGUAAGAGCUUGCUCUUACGGGUGGCGAGUGGCGGACGGGUGAGGAAUACAUCGGAAUCUACUUUUUCGUGGGGGAUAACGUAGGGAAACUUACGCUAAUACCGCAUACGACCUACGGGUGAAAGCAGGGGAUCUUCGGACCUUGCGCGAUUGAAUGAGCCGAUGUCGGAUUAGCUAGUCGGCGGGGUAAAGGCCCACCGAGGCGACGAUCCGUAGCUGGUCUGAGAGGAUGAUCAGCCACACUGGAACUGAGACACGGUCCAGACUCCUACGGGAGGCAGCAGUGGGGAAUAUUGGACAAUGGGCGCAAGCCUGAUCCAGCCAUACCGCGUGGGUGAAGAAGGCCUUCGGGUUGUAAAGCCCUUUUGUUGGGAAAGAAAAGCAGCAGGUUAAUACCCCGCUGUUCUGACGGUACCCAAAGAAUAAGCACCGGCUAACUUCGUG